rnacentral:rRNA from 1 species
UACGAAGGGGGCUAGCGUUGUUCGGAAUUACUGGGCGUAAAGGGCGCGUAGGCGGUGUGUCAAGUCAGGCGUGAAAGCCCCGGGCUCAACCUGGGAACCGCGCUUGAGACUGGCACGCUCGAGUUCGGGAGAGGAUGGUGGAAUUCCCAGUGAUAGAGGUGAAAUUCGUAGAUAUUGGGAAGAACACCGAUGGCGAAGGCAGCCAUCUGGACCGACACUGACGCUGAGGCGCGAAAGCGUGGGGAGCAAACAGG